rnacentral:rRNA from 1 species
ACGUACACUCCUACGGGAGGCAGCAGUGGGGAAUAUUGCACAAUGGGCGCAAGCCUGAUGCAGCCAUGCCGCGUGUAUGAAGAAGGCCUUCGGGUUGUAAAGUACUUUCAGCGGGGAGGAAGGCAAUACGGUUAAUAACCGUGUUGAUUGACGUUACCCGCAGAAGAAGCACCGGCUAACUCCGUGCCAGCAGCCGCGGUAAUACGGAGGGUGCAAGCGUUAAUCGGAAUUACUGGGCGUAAAGCGCACGCAGGCGGUCUGUCAAGUCGGAUGUGAAAUCCCCGGGCUCAACCUGGGAACUGCAUGCGAAACUGGCAGGCUUGAGUCUUGUAGAGGGGGGUAGAAUUCCAGGUGUAGCGGUGAAAUGCGUAGAGAUCUGGAGGAAUACCGGUGGCGAAGGCGGCCCCCUGGACAAAGACUGACGCUCAGGUGCGAAAGCGUGGGGAGCAAACAGGAUUAGAAACCCCGGUAGUCCCAUGA